rnacentral:rRNA from 1 species
GACGAACCGUGCGAACGUUGUUCGGAUUCACUGGGCUUAAAGGGCGCGUAGGCGGGCCACUCAGUCCGGGGUGAAAUCUUUCGGCUUAACCGGAAACGAGCCUUGGAGACGGGUGGUCUGGAGGGAGAUAGGGGCAGGUGGAACUUCCGGUGGAGCGGUGAAAUGCGUUGAUAUCGGAAGGAACACCUGAGGCGAAGGCGGGUUACUGGGCUGAUACUGACGCUGAUGCGCGAAAGCCAGGGGAGCAAACGGG